rnacentral:rRNA from 1 species
GAUGAACGCUGGCGGCGUGCCUAAUACAUGCAAGUCGAGCGAACGGACGAGAAGCUUGCUUCUCUGAUGUUAGCGGCGGACGGGUGAGUAACACGUGGAUAACCUACCUAUAAGACUGGGAUAACUUCGGGAAACCGGAGCUAAUACCGGUUGAUAUUUUGAACCGCAUGGUUCAAAAGUGAAAGACGGUCUUGCUGUCACUUAUAGAUGGAUCCGCGCUGCAUUAGCUAGUUGGUAAGGUAACGGCUUACCAAGGCAACGAUGCAUAGCCGACCUGAGAGGGUGAUCAGCCACACUGGAACUGAGACACGGUCCAGACUCCUACGGGAGGCAGCAGUGGGGAAUCUUCCGCAAUGGGCGAAAGCCUGACGGAGCAACGCCGCGUGAGUGAUGAAGGUCUUCGGAUCGUAAAACUCUGUUAGUAGGGAAGAACAUAUGUGUAAGUAACUGUGCACAUCUUGACGUUACCUAAUCAGAAAGCCACGGCUAACUACGUG